rnacentral:rRNA from 1 species
AUGGCAAUAAGCUAUGGGUCGGAGGUCGCUCCGCAGUGGAGGUACAGGGAGGAAGUGCAGGAGUUGGGGGAGAAGAUGAAGGCCGUGCUUGGCGAUGCCGACGAGAGAUCGCGUCAACAAGGACGGGAUGGUGGAAGAGAGUACGAGCUGUGGCUUACCAAGUUCAAGCGUGCAGCCUACGACGUGGAGGACGUGCUGGAUGAGCUGGACGCCAGUAAGCUCAUCAGCAGGACCCAAUCCAAGGCUAGCUUAUGGUUUUUUGGAAACAAUCAACUCCUGCAGCGAAUGACCAUGCCCCACGAGAUGAAGAACGUCACCAAGAAAAUAGAAGAAAUUAAAGAGGAGGGCAGUGCUCAAUCUUGUGCCUCAAGAAGCAAGGGGAGAAGGGAGCAGAAACAAUCAAAUACUUGCAGCUAA